ACCACCAGCAGCAACAGCAACAUUUUUACAAAAUCUGAUCACAUGGUGGCCUAAUUGUGACUCAGCCAGUGUGUGUGGCGCAGUAGGGUGGUGAUCUGAGGCGUGAUGCUGUCGGAAAACAGAGAAAAGUAAAAAGGAGACAGAGAGUAGGGAAUCACCAUGGAUGAGCCGAUACGAUAUCAUUACGAUACCUGGCUGACGAUCCAAUUUGUAUUGCGAUUCUGUUUCUACAGAUCUAUUCACCCUUUUUUAUGGUCCAAAUAUCAAUACUGAUGUUGGUAUUUCGCAUGCUCCCAUUGAGGGGUCGCCACAACAAUCCGCACAACUCCUUGGCAUAGAUUUUAAGCCGGGUGCCCUUCCUGACACAACCAGCCCAUUUUAUCCGGGCUUGGGCAACAGCACUGCAUCCUGUGACUGGGUAGUAUUGGGGUGUGGCAACCCACCGACAGCGGGGCUCGAACCCGGUUCCUUAAAUCCCCAAACCAACAAGCCAGAGCCUUAGCCGUCUGAGCUACCACUCUCUACGCUCCAAAUAUCAAUAUUAAUCUAAAAAAACAUACAAUACUGUUAAGACUUUUUUUUUUUAAUCAGGGAUGUUGUUUGAAUAAAAAUACUAGAAACUACGUCAUUUAUACAGUAACCACGCACUGCUUACGAGUGCACACGUAAAAAGCAGAAAGGUACAACUCAAGCGGCAGAUGAAGCUGUUGAAACACUGUGCAACUGAACAAAGUAA